UUAUAUAUGCACACGAAACUAUGAAAUGAAAACAUCAGACAUCAUAUUACAUUUAAAACUGUAAAAUAGAACAAACAACAACUGACCGACAAAUACACCAGACUCGGGCUCCAUUAGAAACCUUAAACAAUUUCACACAUCUAUUGAUUCAUGAAAUACCGUUUUAUCAUUUAUUGAACUUUAAUAUCGUGAUAGGAAAUAG
rnacentral:lncRNA from 1 species